AUGGCAUCUCUUUUAACAAAAUUGUCAAAGAAAGGAUUAAUUAUUGCACAUUUAAAUAUAUGUAGCCUCAAGAACAAAAUUCAUGAGGUGAUGAGAAUAUGCACUGAAGAUAAUAUUCAAGUUUUAGCAUUGUCAGAAACACAUUUAGAUAUGGCUAUGAGUAAUUCUGAGCUUAUGAUUAAUGGUUUUAAAUUGUAUAGGAAAGACCGGGAUAAAUAUGGUGGUGGAGUAGCCUUUUAUAUUAGAGAACAUUUUGGUGUGUUGUUAAGGGAAGACUUAAUGAACAGUUAUAUUGAAGACAUAUGGGUAGAGAUUUCUGUUCCACACUGUAAACCAAUUUUAGCUGGUUGUUGUUAUCGGCCUCCUAGUGCUAAUGUGCAGUAUUUGGAUAGAAUAUGUGAAAGUAUGAACAGGGUCACAGAUGAAAAUAAGGCCAUAUUUUUAUUGGGUGAUUUUAAUAUUGAUUGGAUGGCUAAAAACUGCUCAUUAACAAAAAAGUUAAAAUCUAUGGCUGAUACUUGUAAUCUCACACAAAUGAUUAUCCAACCAACAAGAAUUGUUAUGAAGGCAAACAAGGUUAGUACUUCUAGCUGCAUUGACCUUAUAUUUACCAAUGUCCAGGAAUUGUGUUCAAAGGCAGUAUCAGUGGCAGUUGGCUGUAGUGAUCACAAUUUGAUCGCAUUAACUAAAAAGACAAAAAUUCCCAAAUCAGGAGCCAGGAUUUUAUUAUCUAGGUCAUAUAAAAGAUUCAAUCAAGAUCUGUUUAUUAAUGAAGUUCAGAGUGUGCAGUGGACUGAAGUGUGUCAAGAAAAAGAUCUUAAUAAAGCCUUAAAUAUUUUUAUGGAUAUAAUAAAUAAGAUAAUUGAUAAAUACGCCCCACUUAGAAAAAGAUCAGUAAAAACUAAAAAUGCUCCUUGGCUCGAUGAUGAGCUGAAGUGCUUAAUGCUGCAAAGAGACAAGGCAAAGGAGGUAGUACAGAAAUUAGGAAGUGACUACAAUAAAAAAUUCUAUUGUAAGUUAAGAAAUAGGGUUUCUAAAUUAAAUCAUAUUAAAAAAAGGGAAUAUUAUAAGCAAAAAAUUAGGUCUGCAGCUGGUGAUUCCAAGAAAAUAUGGAAAACACUGAAUGAAAUAAUGUGUAGGAAGACAAAUAAUUAUCAAGGGUGUGUGGAAAAUGAAGGUCAGUUUAUUACUAAACCAUUAGAGAUAGCUAAUUAUUUUAACACCUUUUUUAACGAUAAGGUGAAUAAUUUAAGAUCUAGCAUGUAUGGCAAUGAUGUUCAAUCAGCCUGUAGUCCUAUUUCUAAAAUAGUGAAAAAUAAAUGA
rnacentral:lncRNA from 1 species